UACAGAGGGUGCAAGCGUUAAUCGGAAUUACUGGGCGUAAAGCGUGCGUAGACGGUCAUGUAAGUCGGGUGUGAAAGCCCUGGGCUCAACCUGGGAAUGGCAUUGGAUACUGGCGACCUAGAGUGCGGUAGAGGGGUGUGGAAUUCCCGGUGUAGCAGUGAAAUGCGUAGAUAUCGGGAGGAACAUCUGUGGCGAAGGCGACACCCUGGACCAGCACUGACACUGAGGCACGAAAGCGUGGGGAGCGAACAGG
rnacentral:rRNA from 1 species